rnacentral:rRNA from 1 species
GACGAACGCUGGCGGCGUGCCUAAUACAUGCAGGUCGAGCGGACCGAACAGGAGCUUGCUCUUGUUCGGUUAGCGGCGGACGGGUGAGUAACACGUGGGUAACCUGCCCGUAAGACCGGGAUAACUCCGGGAAACCGGAGCUAAUACCGGAUAACACCGAAGACCGCAUGGUCUUUGGUUGAAAGGCGGCUUCGGCUGCCACUUACGGAUGGGCCCGCGGCGCAUUAGCUAGUUGGUGAGGUAACGGCUCACCAAGGCGACGAUGCGUAGCCGGCCUGAGAGGGUGACCGGCCACACUGGGACUGAGACACGGCCCAGACUCCUACGGGAGGCAGCAGUAGGGAAUCUUCCGCAAUGGACGAAAGUCUGACGGAGCGACGCCGCGUGAGCGAAGAAGGUCUUCGGAUCGUAAAGCUCUGUUGUUAGGGAAGAAGAAGCGUCGUUCGAACAGGGCGGCGCGGUGACGGUACCUAACGAGAAAGCCCCGGCUAACUACGUG